GGCUAUGGCGUGUGCUCGGUGGGGCUGGAGCGGCUUGCUUACCUCCUCAUGGCUUACAGCCUGGGCGCCUCAGUCGCCUCACUCCUGGGCCUGCUGGGCUUGUGGCUGCCACGCCCGGUGCCCCUCGUGGCUGGAGCAGGGGUGCACCUGCUGCUCACCUUCAUCCCCUUUUUCUGGGCCCCUGUGCCUCGGGUCCUUCAACACAGCUGGAUCCUCUGUGUGGCAGCCACCCUUUGGGGUGUGGGCAGCACCCUGAACAAGACUGGACUCAGCACUCCUGGGAGUCUUGUACGAAGACAAGGAGAGACAGGACUUCAUCUUCACCAUCUACCACUGGUGGCAGGCUGUGGCCAUCUUCACUGUGUACCUGGGCUCGAGCCUGCACAUGAGCUAAGCUGGCGGUGCUGCUGGUGACGCUGGUGGCGGCCGCGGUCUCCUACCUGCGGAUGGAGCAGAAGCUGCGGCGGGGCGUGCGCCAGCCCCGCAUCCCGUGGCCCCAGCACAAGGUGCGCAGUUACCGCUACUUGGAGGAGGACAACUCGGACGAGAGCGACGCGGAGGGCGAGCAUGGGGACGGCGCGGAGGAGGAGGCGCCGCCCGCGGGGACCAGGCCUGGUCCCGAGCAGGCUGGACUCGGCCGCCGGCCCUGCCCGUAGGAACAGGCGCAGGGGGGCGACUGGCCAGAGGAGC
rnacentral:lncRNA from 1 species